GACGAACCGAGCGAACGUUAUUCGGAAUCACUGGGCUUAAAGGGCGCGUAGGCGGGCGGCCGAGUCCGGGGUGAAAGCCCCCAGCUCAACUGGGGAAGUGCCUCGGAUACUGGUCGCCUCGAGGGAGAUAGGGGCGUGCGGAACUUCCGGUGGAGCGGUGAAAUGCGUAGAUAUCGGAAGGAACACCGGUGGCGAAAGCGGCGCGCUGGAUCCCUACUGACGCUGAGGCACGAAAGCCAGGGGAGCAA
rnacentral:rRNA from 1 species